UACGGAGGGUGCAAGCGUUAUCCGGAUUCACUGGGUUUAAAGGGUGCGUAGGCGUCUGUACAAGUUUUCGGUGAAAUCUCCGGGCUUAACCCGGAAACUGCCGAAAAAACUGUGCGGAUUGAAUUCAGCUGAAGUGAGUGGAAUACAACAAGUAGCGGUGAAAUGCUUAGAUAUGUUGUAGAACACCGAUUGCGAAGGCAUCUCACUAAGCUGCGAUUGACGCUGAGGCACGAAAGCGUGGGUAGCGAACAGG
rnacentral:rRNA from 1 species